rnacentral:rRNA from 1 species
GACGAACGCUGGCGGCGUGCCUAAUACAUGCAAGUUGAGCGAUGAAGAUUGGUGCUUGCACCAAUUUGAAGAGCAGCGAACGGGUGAGUAACGCGUGGGGAAUCUGCCUUUGAGCGGGGGACAACAUUUGGAAACGAAUGCUAAUACCGCAUAACAACUUUAAACAUAAGUUUUAAGUUUGAAAGAUGCAAUUGCAUCACUCAAGGAUGAUCCCGCGUUGUAUUAGCUAGUUGGUGAGGUAAAGGCUCACCAAGGCGAUGAUACAUAGCCGACCUGAGAGGGUGAUCGGCCACAUUGGGACUGAGACACGGCCCAAACUCCUACGGGAGGCAGCAGUAGGGAAUCUUCGGCAAUGGACGAAAGUCUGACCGAGCAACGCCGCGUGAGUGAAGAAGGUUUUCGGAUCGGAAAACUCUGUUGGUAGAGAAGAACGUUGGUGAGAGUGGAAAGCUCAUCAAGUGACGGUAACUACCCAGAAAGGGACGGCUAACUACGUG